CUCUCGAGUGGGACAAAAGCCAGCUCAGAGCAGGGGACCUGACUCAGGUGGGCUGGGUCCCUGAGCUCGCCCACGGCUGUAGAGCCAGGCAGAGCUGCCAGCCCAGGGUGGGGCGUCCGACCGUACUGAGCCUGUAGACCUGGAUCCUCAGCAUCAACACAGAAGUAAGGAUCUACGGGAACAGAAAACUGAAUACAAGGUCAGCUCUCAGAAGGGGAACCACUGACCCCAGGACUGACCAACAAACGGAAGGAAAGACUGAGUCACCCAGAACUUCAGGACCAUCUGUGGUCACAUCGAGUGGCCCGUCCACGGGUGUUGGCACCUACCCCUCCACCCAGCUUGUCAGGAGGAGCUGCCUGGGAUGGAAACCCUGCUGGGGGCUGGACCAGUAUGGGGUGUUGCGGUGCCUUACUUGCUCUGCUUCCCAGCGGCCAUGUCCUGAGCCGCUCCAUUCCACCAUGCCCUUCCGCCACGACCUUCCGCCAUGACUCUCUGCCUCCCCUCAGGCCCAGAGCCAUGGUGUCAGCUGUCCAUGGACUGAACCUCUGAAACUGUGAGCCCCAAAUAAGCUUUCCCCCUCUAAGUUGCUCCUCUCGGGGUGUCUUGGUCACAGCAAUGAAGAGCUGACCAACACAGUGAGCUCAUUCAGAAAUAGGGUCCCUGCCGAUGUCAUCAGGUUAAAAUGAGGUCG